GUUUCAUUACAGAUGGACAAUUAUAGUGGAUAAAAUAAGAAAAGUGUUGUAAUAAGCUAUGGAAUGUGGCUUGUUAUGAUGGGUCUACAUGAUGACUUGGAGUACAACCUGAUUGAGGCCCGGCAUACGGAAUUCAGUCCUGAACAUGUUUAGAAUGUCUUCUGCAUGACCUGGUAUAGAUAGUAUUCUUGAAGGAUUAUAACUUCAACACAGAGACGGAGAUUAAUAUUUUUAGGCAGGGGGUUGGCAUGACAGGCAAAUUCACCAACCGCAUUACCAUUCCUGGGCUGGAUGCCAGUCGACAGUGGUACCUGUAUAAUGAAAUAGCGCCCCUUUGCAGCAACAGCAAUGCAUGUAAUCAUUUCUGUCGGCAGUACCAUGUUUAUUUUCCCUUUUCAUGAACAAUUAAUUUAACCUGUCUUGAAAGCACAAUAUAUGUAUAAUUUGUAAAACAUACAUUGGAUUAUUGUGGAAACAAUUUAGUUUUUGUAUGCCUAAUUAUAUAUCAUUGUCGUUAGUAUCAUCUAACUCUUUUAAUAUGAUCAAGACAUUUAAUAAGGCAGUUUUCUUAAACUAUUACUGUGUGUUAAAUGACAUUAUGUAGUAUUAUGUUUACGGAAUUAACUGCGUAACCAUGGAAACAUU
rnacentral:lncRNA from 1 species